AACCAUUCUCACCUGCGGCUAGACCUGCGGAGGGAUCAUUACCGAGUUUACAACUCCCAAACCCCUGUGAACAUACCACUUGUUGCCUCGGCGGAUCAGCCCGCUCCCGGUAAAACGGGACGGCCCGCCGGAGGACCCCUAAACUCUGUUUCUAUAUGUAACUUCUGAGUAAAACCAUAAAUAAAUCAAAACUUUUAACAAUGGAUCU
rnacentral:misc_RNA from 1 species